CAGGAGACCAACUGUAACAACCAGACAAUACCACAGGCACAGAGACAGGUUUUCCAGAGUCAGCACUUCAACGGAUGCCUAUAAAUACAGUUUCAUCCCCAGAACAAAUUUUUGACUGGAACCAAUUACCUGAAAGUGCCAUCCAAGCCCCCACAACAGACGCCUUCCGGGUCUGUGUGUGGCAGUUCCUGGCGUAACUAUUGAUACCUGAUUUUAACCCUGUACAGUUGUUGCAAACUCACAUAAUUUUAUUUGAUUUUGUUCCUGUAAAUACACAAGUUUUUGUUUAUUUUUAACUUGGCGUGUACUGGUUGACACAACCGCACAGUAUAUCUGUGUUAUGGAAAUUUCAACUGCAGAUUAACCACAAAAUAUAGAAGAAGAAGUACAAUAAACACUAGACAACAGGAAUGACAGGAUAUAUCUUCUGGGGGAUGGAUGGUAACUGAAUCAAUACAAAUAGCCUCAUUGAAUUUGAAAAAGCUGCAAAUGAUAUCAGUAACAAAAGAUUGUUAGUGUGCAGUGUGCAGACAGUGGUUAAACAGAAGUUAACAUUCUAUUAGUUUUGGGAUUUUACAAUCAGCUAGAGGAAAUAAUAGGAGAAAAAGGGACCUGUGUGGUAAAAACUUCCUAAAAGUCGUCCUUUAUGUGUUCAACUUUUUCUUUUGGCUGACAGCCCGGUUAGCUUUCCUAGCAUUAGAUUAGGGUUAUAUAUCAAGUUCCAGAAGCAUACCUAUAUCAAUCUGCUAGGGAACAGUACUUUCCCUUUGGCAACAUACUUGCUACUAGGAACAGGAGCCUUUAUUAUCUUGUCAGGAAUCAUUAGUUGUACUGGGACAUGUAUAGAAAAUAGAUGUUUUAUGGUUAUGGUUGGAAGAGACUGAUGAACUAUACAUAUCUGGGAUACAGAAUCAAUGAAACAUCGUCAGUACUGAAAGGUCAACAUCAAGGAGGGGUCUGUGCUGUAGACUUCUCAGAUUACCAACAACCAAGUCAACAUGCAAGUACUGAGCAUAUGUUUGAAGAUUUAUCUUCCAAUGCAGAGCCUAGCAAUAUAGUUUUAUGUUACAGUUAUACAGUUAUUUUAUGUUAUGGUAUCCAAUCAACUGAAGAAAGAAAAGACACAGUGCUGCACACAUGUAAAGAAUGCAAUUCAUCUGACAAAACUGGAAACCAACAGGAAAAGAACAUUGAACAUAUAAUUUAUUGUUCAUUUGGCAAUUCAAGUUAUUUGAUAUACAUGAUUGGGGACUGGGUUUAAGUAAGAGGUAUUUACUUACCGAUUACACCCAGAUAAAUGUCCUGAUACUCUUGGCAUUGAAAGUAACUUUUAUUGCAGAUAUGUGCAUUAAGUUAACUUAUUAACAGAUCUAAUUAUGAAAUAAAGUGCAGGUUAAUAAUAUGUGCAAAGAUAAAGUUUAUCCUUUUAGAUUAUUAAUGCAAAGAAAUGUUUAGUUGAAAACAUAUUUGUAUGUAUCCAGGCAAUAAAUGUAAAUUUAAAGCAAACCAUUUCCUUUUGCAAAAUGAGAAACAGAAUAUGAAACAUAACAGAAAGGGAGAUAAGCAACAUAAAACUUUAAUUGAACACUUACAUGGGAGAUAAUCCUGAUUUAUACAUUUUCAUGUUACACAUGAUACAUGUAUUUGAGCUUCUUUUUAGUAUAAAAUGAUGAAAUAGUUUGUUAUACAAUGUAUAUUUUCUCAAACAAUAUUAUUUUUGUGGUCAAAAGGUUCUGUUCUCAGGGUUUAUUUCUUUCCUCUGUAAUAAUAAAAAUGCUAAAUAUAAGCAUUUAUAUUCAUUUCAGGAAUUCCUGACCAUAGUUAUGCUGGAGAAACCAUUACACCAAUUUUGGCACAACCCCAAAAUAAUGUAAGUACAUGUAUUGCUUCUGACCAUGACUAUGUGUUCAUGAACAGAAAUACACUGUAUAGUCCAGUUCUACCAGAUGUUACAACAUUCUUAAAGAAUACUACAUCCAGUAGAAAUAACAACUAUUUAAACCAGGAAGAGAAAUCCAUCUUAAUCAAUGUGAUUCAAAAUGACAAUGAAAACAAUAUAUAUGGUGCACUAAUGAAGAUAGAUAACUUUAGAAAUGGAGUUAUUUCUGAACUAUGUUUAGAAAUAGACUCAUCAAUUUCUACUAUGGGAAACAGAAAAUUGCUUUUUGUAAGUGAACUGAUGAAAAAAGAUGUCAAUAGUUUAAAAUCUCUAGAAUGGUCUAGUAUAAUCAAAGAAAUGAUGGAAAAAUUACCAGUACUUUGCACAUUGCUCUUCUCAACCAUGCUUCCGCCUCAACAACGAUCCUGCUAUACCAAAAUUGAACGGGUUAUACCGAAAGCUGCAUUUGUUAAUGCCAUUUUAAUGCAAUCCAGAAAUAUAGAAUUGAGCCGUGUACAGAGAAUGGUGUCAAUGUUAUUGAUGGAUAACAUUUGUGAUCAGAAGGUAUAAAAAAGUAUAUAGACUUCCACUGUUCUUUUUGCACAGUCAAAAUAUAUAUAAAAAGUUGGUUUUAAGUAUAUAAACAGAAAUUGUGCUUUUUAUACGACCGCCAAAAAAUUUUUGUGGUCGUAUAUUGGUAUGACGUUGGCGUCGUCGUCAUCGUCGUCGUCGUCGUCCGAAGACGCAUUAGUUUUCGCACUCUAACUUUAGUUUAAGUGAAUGGAUCUCUAUGAAAUUUUACCAUAAGGUUCAAUACCACAAAAGGAAGGUGGGGAUUGAUUUUGGGGGUUAUGGUACCAACAGUUAAGGAAAAAGGGGCCAAAAAUAAGCAUUUUCUAGUUUCCAGACAAUAACUGUGGAACUGUGUAUGGAUCUCUCUGAAAUUAUACUACAAGUUUCCAUACCACAAAGGGAUGGUUAGGAUUUGCUUUGGGGGGUUAUUGCUCAAACCGUUUAAGAAUUAGGGGCAAAAAAGGGGGAAAAACAAGGUUGUCCUCAUUAAUGGACAAAUACUUUAGUACAAAACAUAAUUUAAAGCAGUGUAAGGGAGAUAAAUCAAAUACAUCAUUGAAAUUAUCUCCCUUACACUGCUUUUAAAUUAUGUAUAAAGUAAUGGUUAAUGAACAAUUAAGAUAAUUUAAAACAGUGUAAGGGAGGUAAUCCAAAUACAACGUUUUGGUUACUUCCCUUACACUGCUUUUAAAUUAUGUUUAAAGAAAUGCAUAUUUAUAAAGGAAGACCAGUAUGGCGCAUUAGAUUUGUAAAAUCUUUGACCACAUUUAUUUAUUUGUUAUGCCGAAUCUAACCGUGUAUUUAGAUUUUUAAUUUUUGGUCCAGUUUUCAAAUUGGUCUACAUUAAGGUCCAAAGGGUCCAAAAUUGAACUUUGUUUGAUUUUAACAAAAAUUGAAUAUAUGGGGUUCUUUGAUAUGCUGAAUCUAAACAUGUAUUUAGAUUUUUGAUUUUUGGCCCAGUUUUCAAGUUGGUCCAAAUUGGGGUCCAAAAUUAAACUUUGUUUGAUUUCAACAAAAUUUGAAUAUAUGGGGUUCUUUGAUAUGCUGAAUCUUACCAUGUAUUUAGAUUUUUUAUUUGUGGACCCUGCUAUCAAAUUGGUUCAUAUUGAGGUCAAACUUUGUUUGAUUUCAUCAAAAAUUGAAUUAUUGGGGUUCUUUGAUAUGCCAAAUCUAACUGUGUAUUUAGAUUUUUAAUUUUGGGUCCCGUUUUUUAAAUUGGUCUACAUUAAGGUCCAAAGGGUCCAAAAUUAAACUUAGUUUGAUUUUAACAAAAAUUGAAUUCUUGGGGUUCUUUGAUAUGCUGAAUCUAAACAUGUGUUUAGAUUUUUUAUUAUGGGCCCAGUUUUCAAGUUAGUCCAAGUUGGGGUCCAAAAUUAAACUUUGUUUGAUUUCAACAAAAAUUGAAUAUAUGGGGUUCUUUGAUAUGCUGAAUCUAAACAUGAAUUUAGAUUUUAGAUUUUUGGCCCAGUUUUCAAGUUGGUCCAAAUUGGGGUCCAAAAUUAAACUUUGUUUGAUUUCAACAAAAAUUGAAUAUAUGGGGUUCUUUGAUAUGCUGAAUCUUACCAUGUAUUUAGAUUUUUUAUUUGUGGGCCCGCUAUCAAAUUGGUUCAUAUUGAGGUCAAAAGGGUCCAAAAUUAAACUUUGUUUGAUUUCAUCAAAAAUUGAAUUAUUUGGGUUCUUUGAUAUGCCAAAUCUAACCGUGUAUUUAGAUUUUUAAUUUUGGGUCCCGUUUUUUAAAUUGGUCUACAUUACGGUCCAAAGGGUCCAAAAUUAAACUUAGUUUGAUUUUAACAAAA